AUUUAAUCAUAUUACUUACAUGAUUUGACUCUGAUUCCUGGCUUCCUUCUCAUUACGGGACAGAGGUAAUAACAUCCAAAGUUGGAAGCAUGACACCUGCACUGCCCUUCAACUCAUAUUUACUUAAGUCUCGUUACUUGUUCUUUAUUAUACUUUUAUAUUUUCAAAGCAAUUUAAAAGAAAGUAUGUUUGCUUUUUGAGGAAUAUUUGUUCAGAAAACAUCACCAUACUAGUUAUCCUGCCAUCUACUGUCUGCCAGGACCUUUAUAUGUAUUGUUUAUAAUCACCAUCAUAAAAAUGGAAGGUGGACGUUGUGAGCCCCAUUUGGCUGUUAAGAAUAGGGAGCCUCAAGAGGUUAAGGUGCCUAUGACCAGGCAGUAGCUGCCCGGGUCAGAAUUGGAACCAAAGUCUCUGACUCAGGUUUUGCUCUGACUCCUAUUCCAAGCUCCCUGACAUCUUAGUUCAUAUCAAUGAAUGGCUGUGCUUUGGCUGACAUUUAUCUUCCAUUUCUCUAGAUGAGGUUCUAGAAGGCUACCUAAGAUUGUGACUUUUUUAUUUUUUUUAAGAGAGAGAGCAUGUGCACGCAUGCAUGUGAGUGGUGGGGGCGGGGCACAGGGGGCAGAGGAGAGAGACUCUUAAGCAGGCUCCGUGUCCAGCGCAGAGCCCAGUGCAGGGCUCGAUCCCACGACCCUGAGAUCAUGACUUGAACCGAAACUAAGAGUCAGAAGCUUAAUGGACUGAGCCACCUAGAUGCCUCAUCGUGCCAUUUCUAAUGAAAAGCAAAAUGGAAGACGAUCACAACCAAACAAAGAGUUGGAACCAAAGAUGCCACGUGCAUGUGUGCUGUCUACUUGCUGACUUCAGGAGAAAGCAGGUUAUUUCGGGCAGAAUUUUUCUUUUAGUUUUUCCUGGAUUACAUGUAUCAGAGAUCAAAACAGAAAGCGGUGUUUCUUCCCCUGCUGAGUAGCUAGAGAAACAGUUAGAAGGGUAGUUAAGAGCCUAAUUUCCGGAAUCAAAACCAGCUCUGUCCAAAUCCUGGUUCUAUCACGUUCCAGGUGUGUGAUCUUGGGCAACUUGAUCUUUGUUUCUCCACUGUCUCCCCUUUCA
rnacentral:lncRNA from 1 species